AGAGUUUGAUCCUGGCUCAGAACGAACGCUGACGGUGUGCCUCAUACAUGCAAGUCGAGCGGGCUCAGCAAUGGGUCAGCGGCGGACGGGUGAGUAACACGUGAACAAUCUGCCCUCAAAUUUGGGAUAACGGUUCCAACGAGCCGCUAAUACCGGAUAGGUUAGUCUGAUCUCCUGGUUGGAUUAAGAAAGUUGCAAUUGCAACGUUUGAGGAUGAGUUCGCGGCCCAUUAGCUAGUUGGCGGGGUAACGGCCCACCAAGGCGACGAUGGGUAGCCGGCCUGAGAGGGUGAUCGGCCACAUUGGGACUGAGAUACGGCCCAGACUCCUACGGGAGGCAGCAGUAGGGAAUUUUGCGCAAUGGACGAAAGUCUGACGCAGCAACACCGUGUGAGGGAUGAAGCAUUUCGGUGUGUAAACCUCUGUCGAUGAUGAAUAAAGCAUGUGGGAGUGGAAAGCCCAUGUGUUGAAGGUAAUCAUGAAGGAAGCACCGGCUAACUCUGUGCCAGCAGCCGCGGUAAUACAGGGGGUGCAAGCGUUGUUCGGAAUCACUGGGCGUAAAGGGAGCGUAGGCGGAACUACAAGACAGGGGUCAAAUCUCCGGGCUCAACCUGGAACUUGCCUUUGUGACUGUAGUUCUUGAGUAUGGUAGAGGUCGGCGGAAUUUCCGGUGUAGCGGUGGAAUGCGUAGAGAUCGGAAAGAACACCAGAGGCGAAGGCGGCCGACUGGACCAAUACUGACGCUGAGGCUCGAAAGCGUGGGGAGCAAACAGGAUUAGAUACCCUGGUAGUCCACGCUGUAAACGAUGAACACUAGAUGUCGGGAGAGGUUUCUUCCGGUGUCGUCGCUAACGCAGUAAGUGUUCCGCCUGGGGAGUACGCUCGCAAGGGUGAAACUCAAAGGAAUUGACGGGGGCCCGCACAAGCGGUGGAGCAUGUGGUUUAAUUCGAUGCAACGCGAAGAACCUUACCUGGGCUUGACAUGGGAAUGACCGCUCGAGAGAUCGAGUUUUCUCUUCGGAGACAUUCCGCACAGGUGCUGCAUGGCUGUCGUCAGCUCGUGUUGUGAGAUGUUCGGUUAAGUCCGGCAACGAGCGCAACCCUCGUCCUUAGUUGUCAUCAGGUAAAGCUGGACCCUCUAGGGAGACUGCCGCGGAAAACGCGGAGGAAGGUGGGGACGACGUCAAGUCCUCAUGGCCCUAUAUCGUGACUG
rnacentral:rRNA from 1 species